rnacentral:rRNA from 1 species
CAUGAGAUGGCAGACGGGUGAGUAACGCGUGGGAACAUACCCUUUCCUGCGGAAUAGCUCCGGGAAACUGGAAUUAAUACCGCAUACGCCCUACGGGGGAAAGAUUUAUCGGGGAAGGAUUGGCCCGCGUUGGAUUAGCUAGUUGGUGGGGUAAAGGCCUACCAAGGCGACGAUCCAUAGCUGGUCUGAGAGGAUGAUCAGCCACAUUGGGACUGAGACACGGCCCAAACUCC